rnacentral:ncRNA from 1 species
UUUUUAUUGGAUAAGGGGUGGACAUUUGGUGGAAAUGGUUGGAUGGUGGCUAGCUUACCACUACUGAGGACUCCCAAGAGCUCUUAUCUACGGAGUCAUUUGGCACCUCGAUGUCGACUCAUCACAUCCUGGGGUUGGAAAAUUUUCCCAAGGGUUCAGUUGUUCGCCGAUGAAAGUGAUACAUGAGUUGGGUUUACAACAUCGUGAGAUAGAUCGGUUCCUAUCAGCCGUUGGUGUUCAAGGGAGAACUCGGAGGAGCCAACCCUAGUAUGAGACAAUAGGGUUGGGUCAACCUAUGGCGUCCUAGUUGUUAUGCCAGUAGCAGCGCUGAGCAGCUAAGUUGGUAUGGAAAAACUAUUGCGUGGUGGGAAGUCCUUCUCUAUACAGGUUCGGUAUGAGGUUUUUGAAUGGAAUUCGAGGUAUAAGCAUCACCUUGUGUGAAGAGAUCUCAAACGCGUCCGUGGACAUUUGGCGAUGUUCAUUUAAUGAAACGC